UUCAAACUCAUGAGGCUUACUGCCUCAAAAAUCUUAUCAAUGAAUAUUUUCAUACACUGAAGAUAUCCAGUGCCCAGCUUUGGAUACUUCACGUUUUCUCAGUGUCAGUGAUUUAACCUUUGCUUGAGCUUAGUCUUUAGGCUUGUAACUUUGUUCCUAUUCUUUUUGUUUGUUUGUUUCCUUCUACUUUUAUUUCAGGAUACAACCUUAAGAUUUUUUUUCCAGCUCUGGAUCUCUUCUGUUCAGCUGUGGGGAGACACCAGCAAGUGCAGCUUUAGGUGUUUGAGUUCUCCAGCCAACAUGAAUUUCUGCAGUGGGGCUUUUACACUGUUCUUAGGAAAACAUCAAGGAUGGGAAGCCUGGCAAAGAGCAGCGAAACAAAGUACUGUCUCCGUUUUGUUUUGGAUUGCUUCGGGUGCCUUUAAAGUUCAAAUACCUGUACCUCCAUGCAACCCUUGUGUCUGGAGAGGAGAUGGCCACAUCAGCGCAGCGCGCAUUGCUGUGUGAGAUCGGGGUUACGCUAGCUGUAUCUGUUGUAGCCCCACAUCGAUACAGCAGACUGGCAUCUGUCAGCAAGGGGAUUAGGAGCAUGACGUGAACUCCACACAGGGCUAAAGAAGUGGACCAGAAGAGAGGCCGCUGAAGGAUUUCUGAUUACUAUUUCAACCUAGAGGCCGGAAUAGAAGUUGAGGGUCGUUACUUUAAACGGUGGCUGUUCAGUAGUGCAAAAGGAUGAAAAUGCUGUGUCUGUGCUUGCUCACUGUGCUUUGAGGGCACAUCCGUGGAAAUCUUCCUGUGGAAAGGAGAGGGAGAAGCUGGUGUGUGCCCAGGAAUUGCUCUGAUAUGGAGCUAGCUGGGAUAAUAAUUUGCAUGAACACCAGGGCUUUAUCUCAAAUGCACAUGAAGACGACUCUUGUGUUGGGUCAGCUGGAAGUUAUCCUCCUUUAUCGUAGGGAUUUCAGUGUGGAUGUGACACCUUUCCCACCUUCAGGUGUACUACAGGAUACAACCAAGGAAACUCACUGGGCUGGAUUCAUUAGAACUAUCAAAAUGUCUGCCAUGAAUUGAAGAUGAGCUGUAAAGAUCAGAUUAGGGAUGAAUUUCUACCUUCCUUACCCUAACGUUCAGAAUUAUUCAGAGAAGAACCAAAUCCAGGGUGAUUCUGGAUCAUUAUAAAUUCAGAGCUGGAAUGAACCUGAAAGGAUGAGCUAUCCCAAUUUC